GGUUGUAGCUCAGUGGCAAAGUGCUUGCCUAGCAUGUGUGAGGUACUGGGUUCAAUUCUCAGCACCA
rnacentral:tRNA from 1 species